GGGAGGAAAAAAUGCAGGAAAAUUAUGGCACUUUACUCAAUCGUGUGGAGUUUUGAGGAUGAACUCCUGCUAAUUUAAUUCCUUUUUAUUUUUAUAUAUAGGACAAUUUCCUUCUUACUCAACAAGUUUUAUUUAUUUUUCCUUUUUUUGAAAAUAUUUUUUAAAUUAAGAUAUAAUAAGUUUUGGUCUGUGUCUCUGAGAGCUUAAAAAGAUUCCGUGAUCAGCGAAGGAGAAGAUUGAGAGAGAGAGAGAGAGAGAGAGAGAGAGAGGAGAGAAAGAGGGGAAAGCUGCCCGCAGAUCGGAUGCCCUCAUGAGAAAUCGCCAACGCGCCGCCCGUCCCGACACGACCACUAACCAUGGCCCCCCUACGCUGCCUCCCUUCUCCGCCGGUGGCGGCGUCCGUGGUGGGAGCGACAGCGAGGAAGGCGUCUACAACAUCAUCCCUAUCCACGACCUUCUCGCCGACCACCCCUGCCUCCGCUACCCGGAGGUGCGCGCCGCCAUGUCUGCGCUGCUCACAGUGGGGGAACUCCGGACGCCGCCCUUCGUCCCCUGGCACGCUGGUCUCGACCUUCUCGAUUGGCUCGGGUUCUUCUUCGGGUUCCAGCGCGACAACGUCCGCAACCAGCGGGAGCACCUCGUGCUCCUCCUAGCCAACGCGCAGAUGCGCCUCCAGCUUCCGCAGAACGAGCUCGACCUCGAUGUCCGCGUCGCCCGCAGCCUCCGUAAGAAGCUCCUCCAUAACUACACAUCCUGGUGCUCCUACCUCGGGCGCAAGUCCAACGUUUGGAUUCGCAACAGCUCUGACCCCCGCCGCGAGCUUCUAUACGCCGCUCUCUACCUCCUCGUGUGGGGCGAGGCAGCGAACCUCCGUUUUCUUCCUGAGUGCCUCUGCUAUAUCUACCACAACAUGGCUGGUGACCUCGGCCACAUCCUGGAGGGUCACAUCGACAACGCCACGGGUCAGCCAGCCCUCCCAGCCAUUACCGGCGAGAAUGCUUUUCUCAACCGUGUCGUGGUGCCUAUCUACCAGACCAUCAAGGGAGAAGUCGAUGCCAGCCGCAAUGGCACCGCCCCCCACUCCGCCUGGCGCAAUUACGACGACAUUAACGAGUUCUUCUGGAUUAGCAACUGCUUCGAGCGCCUCCACUGGCCGCCCGAUCGCUCCUCGAAUUUCUUUGUCAUUCCGCCCAAUAAGGAUCGCGUUGGGAAGACAGGUUUCGUAGAGCAGCGUUCCUUUUGGAACGUAUUUCGCAGCUUCGACCGCUUGUGGGUUAUGCUCAUCCUUUUUUUCCAGGCUGCUGUCAUUGUGGCAUGGGGCGGUGAGACGUUCCCGUGGCAGAACCUGCAGACCCGGAACGACCAGGUCCAUCUCCUUACCAUCUUCAUCACCUGGGCUGGCCUCCGCCUCCUCCAGUCCAUUCUCGACGCUGGCACCCAGUACAGCCUUGUGACUCGCGAGACCAAGCUCCUCGGAGCGCGUAUGGUGCUCAAGAGCUUCGUAGCCAUCGCGUGGACUGUGGCAUUCUCCGUGCUGUACGCUCAAAUUUGGAAUCAGAGAGACCGUGACAGACGGUGGUCACAGGCCGCGAAUCAGCGGAUUGUGAACUUUCUGGAGGCUGCCAUCAUGUUCAUCCUCCCGGAACUUCUCGCUGUCCUCCUCUUCAUCCUCCCCUGGGUCCGGAAUUUCAUAGAGAAAACUAAUUGGAGCAUUCUUUAUGUGCUCACUUGGUGGUUCCAGAGCCGCAUCUUUGUUGGCAGAGGGCUCAGAGAAUGUUUGAUGGAUAACCUGAAGUAUUCAUGCUUCUGGAUUAUGGUGCUUAUUGCCAAGUUCACCUUCAGCUACUUCCUUCAGAUCAGGCCGAUGGUUGCUCCUACAAAAGCAUUGAUUGACCUCCCAAAUGUACAGUAUGAAUGGCACGAGUUCUUCAGUCGGACCAACCGGUUUGGUGUGGUCAUCCUGUGGCUUCCGAUAGUUCUAAUCUAUCUGAUGGAUAUCCAGAUAUGGUACUCCAUCUUCUCUUCCUUUGUUGGAGCACUAGUGGGCCUGUUCUCUCACCUUGGAGAGAUUCGUGAUGUGCAUCAAUUUAGAUUGAGGUUCCAGUUCUUUGCUAGUGCAUUGAAGUUCAAUCUGCUGCAUGAGGAACAGCAAAGCCAUGGACGUGGUUCAUUGCAGAACAGAUUCAGAGAUGCUGUCAAUCGGCUGAAGCUAAGGUAUGGGUUAGGGCAGCCAUACAAAAAGAUUGAAUCAAAUCAAGUGGGUCCAAGCAGAUUUGCACUGAUAUGGAAUGAGAUCAUUCAGACAUUCAGAGAGGAGGAUAUUAUAAGUGAUCAUGAGGUUGAGCUUCUUGAGCUGCCGCCACACAUUUGGAAUAUCCGGGUGAUCAGGUGGCCAUGCAUUCUACUCUGCAAUGAACUUCUGCUUGCACUGAGCCAGGCAAAGGAAUGGAAGGUUGAUGACAGGCAACAUUGGCGUCAGAUUAGCAAAAAUGAGUACAGACGCUGUGCUGUCAUUGAGGCCUAUGAUAGUAUUAAGUACCUGCUGAUGCAUAUAAUCAUAGAAGGAACUGAAGAACAUGCUAUCAUUGCCCGAUUGUUUGAUGAGUUUGAUGGUUGGAUCCAGGCAGAGAAAUUCACAAUCGAAUUCAAUACUCUCGUUCUGCAGAAUAUCUUUGACCAACUGGUUAUCCUGCUGGACACAUUGGUGAAACAAAAUAAGGACAAAGCGGUCAACAUAUUACAAACCCUCUAUGACAUAGCUACCCGUGACUUUCCCCAAAUAAAGAAGACCAAAGAACAACUUAAAGCAUCAGGCUUGGCACCAAGGGGCUCAGGCGGCCUGCUCUUUGAGAAUGUGGUCGUUUUGCCUGAUGAACAAGACGAGAACUUUUACAGGCAGGUAAGAAGGUUGCAGACAAUUCUUACAUCCAAAGAUUCCAUGCAUAAUGUCCCAAAGAAUCUUGAAGCUCGAAGGCGUAUUGCUUUUUUUAGCAACUCAUUGUUCAUGAACAUGCCUCGAGCUCCUCGGGUGGAUAAGAUGCAGGCAUUUAGCGUUUUGACUCCAUAUUACAAUGAGGAAGUUCUUUACAGCAAAGAGCAGCUUCAGAUUGAAACUGAAGAUGGCAUAUCUAUCAUUUUCUAUUUGCAGAAAGUUUAUGAAGAUGAGUGGGCGAAUUUUUUGGAACGUAUGCGUCGGGAAGGUAUGGUUGAUGAAGAGGAGCUCUGGAAUAAAAGGUGUAGAGAUCUUCGGCUUUGGGUCUCAUAUAGGGGUCAAACAUUGUCACGCACUGUACGAGGAAUGAUGUACUACUACAGAGCUCUUAAAAUGCUAGCCUUCCUUGAUUCUGCUUCUGAGAUUGAUAUAGAGAAAGGAGCAACAAUAUUAACAUCACCUGGUUUCUCAAGAAGGAAUAGUAAUUUGAAUGGUUUGCAGGACGGGGGUGAGUCAAAGCGACAAAAAUUUAGCAGAGCUGGUAGUAGGGUCAGUUUGUUAUUUAAAGGCCACGAACAUGGGACUGCUAUGAUGAAAUAUACUUAUGUGCUUGCUUGCCAGAUUUAUGGAAGCCAGAAAGAUAAGAAUGAUGCACGUGCCAGUGAUAUUUUAUAUUUAAUGAAAAAAAAUGAAGCUCUCCGAGUGGCCUAUGUUGAUGAAGUAAAGUCAGGUAGGGAUGAAGUGCAGUAUUACUCCGUUCUUGUAAAAUAUGAUCAACAACUGGAGAAAGAGGUGGAGAUAUACCGGGUCAGGUUACCUGGACCACUGAAGCUUGGAGAAGGCAAGCCAGAGAACCAGAACCAUGCCCUCAUCUUCACGAGGGGUGAUGCAGUGCAGACGAUUGACAUGAACCAAGAUAAUUACUUUGAGGAGACCCUCAAGAUGCGCAACCUGUUGGAGGAGUACUCCCACACUUAUGGUGCUCGGAAACCAACAAUCUUGGGAGUCCGAGAACAUGUAUUUACUGGUUCAGUCUCCUCCCUUGCUUGGUUCAUGUCUGCACAAGAGACAAGCUUUGUUACACUUGGACAGAGGGUGCUAGCAAACCCACUGAAGGUCCGAAUGCAUUAUGGGCAUCCUGACGUCUUUGAUCGUCUUUGGUUUCUUAGUCGAGGUGGCAUUAGUAAAGCUUCUAGGGUCAUAAACAUCAGUGAGGACAUUUUUGCAGGUUUUAAUUGUACACUCCGUCGUGGCAAUGUAACCCAUCAUGAGUAUAUACAGGUAGGUAAAGGGCGAGAUGUAGGCUUGAACCAGAUUUCUAUGUUUGAAGCCAAGGUUUCCAGUGGCAAUGGUGAACAGACCUUAAGCAGAGAUGUUUAUAGGUUGGGCCAUAGGUUGGACUUCUUCCGAAUGCUCUCCUUCUUCUACACAACUGUGGGGUUCUACUUCAACACCAUGAUGGUGGUACUGACUGUCUAUGCAUUUGUUUGGGGACGUCUUUAUAUGGCUCUUAGUGGUCUUGAGAAUUCCAUCAAAAACACCGCUGACUCGACUAAUAAUGCAGCUCUAGGUACUAUUCUAAACCAGCAGUUUGUUAUCCAGCUUGGACUUUUCACUGCCCUGCCCAUGAUUAUAGAAAACUCCCUUGAGCACGGAUUUCUACCUUCAAUUUGGGAUUUCCUGAAAAUGCAGAUCCAACUUGCAUCCAUGUUCUAUACCUUCUCCAUGGGAACGAAGGCUCACUAUUAUGGGCGGACAAUCCUUCAUGGCGGUGCAAAAUAUAGGGCAACAGGCCGUGGUUUUGUGGUGGAACACAAGAAAUUUGCGGAGAAUUAUAGGCUAUAUGCACGUAGUCAUUUCAUCAAAGCAAUAGAGCUUGGUGUGAUAUUGACAACAUAUGCUUCAUAUAGCCCAGUAGCAAAGAACACUUUUGUUUAUAUAUUACUAACAAUUUCUAGCUGGUUUCUCGUGGUAUCAUGGAUCAUGGCUCCCUUUGUUUUCAACCCUUCUGGCUUUGAUUGGUUAAAAACUGUCUAUGACUUUGAGGAUUUCAUGAACUGGAUUUGGUAUCCUCGUCUGAUUUCGACAACGUCUGAGCAGUCUUGGGAGAAAUGGUGGAGUGAAGAAAAUGAUCAUCUCCGGGCAACUGGCCUCUGGGGAAAACUAUUGGAGAUAGUACUAGAUAUCCGGUAUUUCUUUUUCCAAUAUGGAAUUGUCUAUCAGUUAAAAAUUUCCAGUGGGAGUCAAAGUGUUGCUGUCUAUCUGCUUUCAUGGAUAUUUGUCGUUGCAGCUGUUGGGACUUUUGUCUUAAUGGAUUAUGCUCGAGACAAGUAUGCUGCAAAGAAACACAUAAAAUACCGAACCAUCCAAGCUUCAGUUAUACUCCUUGUGGUAUUUGUUAUAGUUUUGUUACUGGAGUUUACUUCCUUUGAGAUAAUUGAUAUCUUCACAAGCCUAUUGGCAUUUAUUCCAACUGGUUGGGGUUUAAUUUCGAUUGCUCAAGUGAUCAAACCAUUCAUAGAGUCAAGUGUUCUAUGGGAUAGUGUGGUUGCUAUUGCUCGUCUGUAUGAAAUACUUUUAGGUGUGUUCAUAAUGGCACCAGUAGCAUUCAUGUCCUGGAUGCCUGGGUUCCAGGAAAUGCAGACUAGAAUUCUGUUCAAUGAAGCAUUCAGUCGAGGUCUUCAGAUAUCGCGCAUACUCACUGGAAAAAAAGAAAAUACUAUUUGAGGUAAAUUAUCACAGCUGUUUUGGUUGGUGAAGGUGAUCUUGUCCCGUAUGGCACAUUUCACAUGCAACCUGCAGGUUGAAAUGCAUCCUACCAAAAUUCUAGUUUUGUUUGGAAUCUAGUCAGUUAUCAUUCCUUUGCAAUGGGUUGGUAUGUAAAUAUCUCAUUUUGAAACUUGAUUCUCCUAGCUAUCUUAGGUGCUGGCUUCAGAUUUGGGGAAUUUAUUUUUUUAGAAAAAACUCUGAAGUGGUUCUUGAUACUAACUCUUUAUUUUUUCUUCUGAGAAACUUGUUACUAGCAAAAGACAUCUAUGUUCCACGAGGGCUCCUAGAUUAGCACCAACCUAGAUGGGCAGUACAAAGGGACAAUCAACAUACUGUAUAAUUAUACAAAGAAAUACCUUGUAGUACUGCUAUUGCUUGUUUGCUAGGCUUGCGAAAGAUGACAUAAAUAAAUGGGGAGAAAAAGAGUACAAGCAACAAUAAAUCAUGCUUUAUUGGCUUGUGAGAGCAAGCAAAUGUUCUAGAGAUGGACUGGAUGAAUUGCCUGCCAUGUGAUUGCAUUCUUAUCUCCCACGGUAAGUCUGGUUAACAAAAUGAAAGCAAACACGAGUGAAACAGUGAUUGUUAUAUUUAUUGAUAAAUUAUUUAUCUCAAAAGUUUAAGUCGUUAGGAGAAGAAACACUGUUAUGGAUAUAUAUCUUCUAGUUUUAUAUGUGAGCGGAUAUAUUUGGUUGAUCUGUUCAAGUCUAACAUGAAUUAAGGGGGUAAUCAUGAAUUGGACCGGUA